rnacentral:rRNA from 1 species
AGCUUUAGGCGAAUGAUCUAAAGUUAUACCUGCCCAAUGUAUAAUUAUGAAUGGCCGCGGUACUCUGACCGUGCUAAGGUAGCGCAAUCAAUUGGCUUUUAAUUGGAGUCAGGUAUGAAUGGAGUUACGGGGUUUAACUGUCUCCUAACUAUUAUAUUGAAAUUACUAUGCAGGUGAAAAAGCCUGCAAAAAGAAAAAGGACGAGAAGACCCUUAGAGUUUUACUAAAUUGAAUAUGAGUGUUCGACCAGUUUUGUUGGGGCAACAUAGGAGCAAAAUUAAAUCUCCUGAAUUACAAACCGAUUAUUUUAGAUCUGAAUAAACUACCUUAGGGAUAACAGCAUAAUUUUAUAAAUAAGUUUGUGACCUCGAUGUUGGACUAGGAAACCUAAGGGUUAGCCACCUUUAGGGGAAGUUCUGUUCGAACUGUAAUUCCUA